rnacentral:rRNA from 1 species
GAUGAACGCUGGCGGCGUGCCUAAUACAUGCAAGUCGAGCGAACGGACGAGAAGCUUGCUUCUCUGAUGUUAGCGGCGGACGGGUGAGUAACACGUGGAUAACCUACCUAUAAGACUGGGAUAACUUCGGGAAACCGGAGCUAAUACCGGAUAAUAUUUUGAACCGCAUGGUUCAAAGGUGAAAGACGGUCUUGCUGUCACUUAUAGAUGGAUCCGCGCUGCAUUAGCUAGUUGGUAAGGUAACGGCUUACCAAGGCAACGAUGCAUAGCCGACCUGAGAGGGUGAUCGGCCACACUGGAACUGAGACACGGUCCAGACUCCUACGGGAGGCAGCAGUAGGGAACCUUCCGCAAUGGGCGAAAGCCUGACGGAGCAACGCCGCGUGAGUGAUGAAGGUCUUCGGAUCGUAAAACUCUGUUAUUAGGGAAGAACAUAUGUGUAAGUAACUGUGCACAUCUUGACGGUACCUAAUCAGAAAGCCACGGCUAACUACGUG